GAUUGACGUGAUCGUCGACAACGAGAGCGACAUUCCGAAGCUGUCCAAGCAGAAUUCGCUAAGAUCACACGUUGGCAGCAAUUAUUCGCAGUAUGAAGGGACAAGCAGCGGAAGCGAGACGGUUCCGUUGAAGCCGGCACCGGCGCGGGGUGCCGCGACCGCCAAACCGGAACAUCAGACGCUGUUGGACAUCGACAAUCCGGAACAAAACGCCAAUUCGUUUGGAAAACCGUUCGAGAGCUCGGUGAGUACGCCACUGGCCGAUCGUACGCCACUGCAGGUGCGUUCCUGUGGAGGUGUAUACCAGGCACGUAGCCAGGAUUUUAUUUUGGGGGGGGAGGGGGUCGAAAUAAAUGUUAGUACAAUUUUUAUGCUUAAUUGAUAUAAAAAACAUUUUUUUUUUUUUUAUAUAUAAACGGUACACAAAAAUUUCGGGGGGGUCCAGACUCUAUGUACCCCCCCUGGAUACGUGCCUGGUGUAUACCCUGUUCCAGGAUCGAAAUUAAAUUUUUGAUUUUUCGCACUACAUCAAUAUUAUAUUAUAAUGUAAUAUAAUAUAACGAAAUAUAAUAGAGCGUAUUAUUAGAAAACUGUUACUAUCUACCUAUACUUACUAUUAUUUUAUUAUUCAUAUUAGUUACGCUAAAAUAUCGAAUUAAAUACAGUUUUGAAAUUCAGUAUAUUAAAGAGUUUUGCGAUUUCUCAACUUUCGUACUACACUAUUUUAUAAUAUACGAUAUAGCAGUAAAACAAUUGCCCUUUCGACGAAACAGCCAAUUAAAAUUUAAAACAAAAUUAGGUACAGUUGAAAACUUUUCAACGAUUCGGCGAAAUUCGUUACUACGCGUCCGAGUUGGGUGUUGACGCACUGUUUGGGACAAUAUAUAGUGUGAGCACGUUUAUUAAAUAAAAUACCGACCACUAAUUUGUUUGGUGAGUAGGCACACAGCCACAUUAACUUUUCAGUUUUCUGUCACCACACUCACACUAUUCGCAUAUCAUCCCGAUAUUUCCCGUGAUUAUACGAUGCAAAUAUCUCGGCGCAUCCAAGUUGGGUCCCAAGUACUAUAGGUGUUAAUCUCAGGUACUACACUAUAGUUGGGUUCGGGAUUAUUUUAGGUACUACUCUAGUUAGGUCCUGGACAUUUUCAGGUACUACACUAUUUUUGGGUCCCUAAUAUUUGUUGGUGAGUACUACGGACUAAACUAACGUUUUAACAGACUCAGAAGUCUAUUCAAACCAAAGGUAUGUUUAAAAAUAUUUUUUAAAAUUUCUUUUUUUAGUUUCUUUGCCAUUAAAAAUCUAAAUUAUUUGAAUUUUACAAAUUUUGAUAUAUAUAAUACAAAUACGGGUACAAUGCCAAAAAUGAAUGUCAUAUAUAUUUUUACCAACACAAAAGUAUUUUUUAUACAACAUAUUUUGUUUUUAUUUGUAUAUCAUAGGUAG